CCUGUAGUCCCUGAUCACAAGGAGCUUAAGCCAGCUACCCACAUCCAGACUCCAAUCAAAAUGGAAGGCUUGGGAGCAGUUAAAGGGCCUACUCCAGUAUGAACUGAAGUUAAUGAGACUCUUUCCAUUUACUUUAAUGGGCUUUGGAUUAGGCCUUUUGGGAGGAAUCCAGACAGUUCUGCGGUGGGGGUGUUAUGGAGCCACCUCACAGCAGAGGGAGCACUGGGAGUGAGGAUGCUUCAGUGAGCUCUCUGAUACCAAGCAGGACUGUGCAGGAUGCCGUGUCAGUUGGGACAGUGCAACCUGCUCUCCUUGAUGUGCCAGAUUAUCUCAGAAAGACUGUUCAGAAGAAGAGGGAGGUGGCGUCACCUCUCUGGAAUGACAUGUCUUGGGGAUUGGAGGAGGCAUGUGCAGGGGACUGUAAUUGUGACUGGCCUUAGCAUGGAGCAUGCAAGUGGGAAGGCAGCUCCUGGCACAUUCUCUUAACUCCUCUCCUAGGUUAAGAUCACAAGCAAGACAGGAGAGGAGUGACGUGGAAGCAAAUAAGCCUGUAUGAGAGCUCUAACUCAGUGUGUGUGGUGACUACUUAUGAGCAGUUACUACUGAUAGCCCACACUGUACACAUGGCUGAUUAUCAGAGGAAAUACACUAGCUCUGAAUUAUAAGUGAAAAAUAUACUGCCUUAUUUAUAUAGACUAAAACAGCCUUUUAAGAUUCUUUGUUUUACAGGUCAAACCGUUUAAACUUGUAUGUUACUCACAAAAGCAUGUUAAAAAAGAAGCCUUGAGUAUGUUAGAAGACAGGAGGGGCAGUACUGAUCUCAGUUACACCGUGUAAAUCUGGAGUAACUUCACUGAAAUCAGAGAUCAGAAUCUACCCAAGAAACUCACAAUGAAGUGUAAGGCCGAAGUUCUUCUGAGCCACCCUGCAGUUGAUCCCAGCACGAUUGUCUCAAAUGAAAUUAGCAAUUUGGGCACAGACUUUUUACACAUCAUUGAGAAUAAAAUGCAAAUCAUAGAGCAUUGACAGAAAUUUCAAUGCAAAUAUACUUGUUAAUUCUGAGGAAACGGACACCAUGAGCCUAAUACCAGUCCCACUGAAGUCAAUGGAAAUUUUACUCCAUAACCCUGGGAAUCUAUACUCACAGGACAUUGUUUUUGUUUAGAAGUUUAUACUGAUAAAUCUAGUUUGACACCAACAAGUAUUUUACUAAGCGGACAGGAAAUAAAAAUCAAUAGCGAUAACUCUGCUAACACAUCCUCUGAUCAUUUUUAUUUAAACCCCAAUUGUUCUAACUAUUAUGGAUUAUGAACUUUUGAAAUGUGACAGUAACCAUUUUAGUUUGUGUAGUGUACUUAGUUAGAAAAGCAGCAAAAAGCAGCAGAAAAGAAAUUAUAAAACCUUUGGUCAUCUGUAGAACUUCACACCAAUUCAUUAUGGCAUCCAAACCCACACAGAACUAACUUGGUUGUGUGUUUCAUUAUAAAAUCAAAACCCAGACUAUGUUCAUAAUUGUCAUAAAACUUUUGAAGUAAACCUGGACUGACAUAUGGUUUUGCAUUUGAGCCAGCAACCAUUCAUCCAAGUGCUAUGACUGAAGGUGCCAAAAGGUGCUGAUAGAUCCAAUAGUGUCACCACAGAGUUCCACCCUCUGUCAAUGACGAUAAGAAGAUCGUCCAGCAGUGCUACUAGAGCCAAAUCCAUGCCAUGUGCCAGACUAAAUUCUUAGUAUGCGGGGUCCAGGAUAUUGGUAGAGAUCAGUUUCUCAAUACUAGUUUUUCAGUGACAUUGCCCAAGAAAAGGAC